GGCAGUAUAAAUCAAGUGGCAGAGUGCAUGCUUAGUAUGCAUGAGGUACUGGGUUCAAUCCCCAGUACCUCCU
rnacentral:tRNA from 1 species